rnacentral:tRNA from 1 species
GGUGUCGUGGUGUAGUUGGUUAUCACGUCAGUCUAACACACGGAAGGUCUCCGGUUCGAACCCUAGCGACGCCA